GAGAAAUUAUUGCGUAUGUUAUAUUAAAACUUCAAAAAUACAGAUUUAAAAACAAUAAAAUUCUUACAAAAUGAAGUCAGAAAAGCAAGGAAAAAAGAAAAACCAAAACCAAACCGUCCACUUCUGUUCUAUCCUGGAAAGAACAGAGUAGUGAAAAAAAAAACAAAAAAAACUUUUAAUGUGGUUGCAAUAUAGUCGGUAGGAAACUAUACAAUAGAAGAUUGCUGCAACAUUAAUUACAAUGAUAGAUGGAUUGCAGAACGAGGAGAGGACAGGACAGGCUUUACAAGGUUGUCUUCAAGAACUGUACGACGAAGUAGAGGACUGCAAGAAAUAGUGCAAUCUGAUAUGCAUCUCUUUGGAAGCCUUCGUCCCUUUGAAAAAACUGUGUUUCAUAAGCAAAUGAUAGCACAGUUCAAUAUAGAAACAAAUGGGAAUAACAGUUCUUUUAGGCCUUCUAUCCCUAUACGAGUAACAGGCUUUACUUCAUUGCGGCUACUUUCAAGAAUUUAAGCUCUUAUGGACGGAGGUCUUUUUUUUUUUCUUGUUCAUUUGAGUCCCAACUGAGGUUGGAACUCAAGACCUCAUUGUCCUAAAUACUCCAAUGCUACUGAGUAAUCUCACUGGAGAUGAAAGAUCAAUUACCAGAACCAUAUAUAACCCUUCUAUUCCUAAAUUACAUGAUUCUUUAUUUUCUUUCUUCUUUCUUAAUUUGAGAAGCUUCAAUUAGAUUGUUAUAGAGCUCACCUUUGUUGGAUCACCAGAAGGGUCGGGAUAAAUCUCCAAGUUCUCCUUCUGGGUUGGAAGACGUCUUGACAAGCUCUUGAGAAGAUCAGCCAAAUCUUUUCCAGUCUCAAUUGUAGCAAACAAACGUCGAGAUGCCCAGAAGAAUGCCUCAGCUAUAGGUGAUGAAGCUGAUAAAUCCCAAAACUCUUGAUGCUCAAUCACUUGGCCACUAAUCUGGUUCAAAGUGAACCUGGAGUUCACUUUUAUUAUCAAGUCUCCACCUAUAUCAGCUACAAGAGAUUUAGGCUUCCCUUUUAUUGUCCACUUGAUACUCAGGACACUGGUGGACAACAUCACCAUUUCUUGAACGCUCUGCAAGAACAAGAAGAGAGUCACCAGCAGUUGAAAAUGAAAGAUUUAACGAAAAGGGUCAAAAGUUGUGAUGCCAUUUGGAAAGAUGUGAAGAAUUUAUCCUCACCACAGAAGGGUUGUCUAGUGCACCAGUUACCCAUAGAGGUCUCUUGUAUUUCUCACGACCAGUAAAACUCCUGACCGGAUCCUGCAAUUACUAAGAAAGUAGGACUCCAAGAGAACAGUAUGAAAUCAUGUCGAAAUUGGAAAUUAGCUUCUAGUUCCUUCCCAAUGCCACACAUCUAAGAGAAAUCUAGCUCAGUUAUUCAAAGAAAGAGCAUUGACAAGUACUAUUCAAUUUCUAUGUUCUCUAGGGACCUGUUUUGUUCAGCGGCUGCAGUCAGCUGUUAGUGGUCAUUGGUCAGUGAUCAAAUGUUGAUGACCAAUGAUCAAUAGCUACAGUUUUGAUAGUUUUAAUAUCCAACAGCUGAAACAGACACCAACUAAGUUGGUGUAAAAACACAUAUGCAUAAAUCAUACGCAGGAGAAGAAAGCAAAUAGAAAUACCUUGAGAAGAAAGCAAAUAGAAAUACCUUGUAUCUGACAGAAACUGCAAAGGUUCCCAGUGCACGAUUGCCUUGGCGUAGUUCAAGAAUAUCCCGGGCAAGUUGUCUGGCUGUAGAUUCCACCAAAGGGCUACUAAUACACUCAAACUCAUUGCAAAGCUCUCCAAAGUCCAUACCAUCAACAAUCUUAUCAGCUUCUGACCUUUCAAUCGCAGGAUCAGGAGACAGUUCGGUCCUAUUAGAGUCAUUUGUAA
rnacentral:misc_RNA from 1 species